GAUGAACGCUAGCGGCAGGCUUAAUACAUGCAAGUCGAGGGGCAGCGGGGAUAGCAAUAUCUGCCGGCGACCGGCAAACGGGUGCGGAACACGUACGCAACCUUCCCGGAACAGGUGAAUAGCCCUGCGAAAGUAGGAUUAAUACACCGUAUGAUAUUGGGGUGGCAUCACUUUAAUAUUAAAGGUAGCAAUACCGGUUUUGGAUGGGCGUGCGCCUGAUUAGGUAGUUGGUGCGGGUAAAGGCCCACCAAGCCUUCGAUCAGUAACUGGUGUGAGAGCACGACCAGUCACACGGGCACUGAGACACGGGCCCGACUCCUACGGGAGGCAGCAGUAAGGAAUAUUGGUCAAUGGACGGAAGUCUGAACCAGCCAUGCCGCGUGAAGGAUGACUGCCCUCUGGGUUGUAAACUUCUUUUAUGGGGGCCGAAAAAAGGAUUUUUUAAUUCACUUGACGGUACCCUAGGAAUAAGCACCGGCUAACUCCGUGCCAGCAGCCGCAGUAAAAC
rnacentral:rRNA from 1 species